GGCGAAUGAAUUAGCGGCGCGAAUCGCCCUUAGAGUUUGAUCCUGGCUCAGGACGAACGCUGGCGGCGUGCUUAACACAUGCAAGUCGAACGGAAAGGCCCCGCUUGCGGGGUACUCGAGUGGCGAACGGGUGAGUAACACGUGGGUGAUCUACCCUGCACUUCGGGAUAAGCCUGGGAAACUGGGUCUAAUACCGGAUAGGACCCCUCUUUAGUGUGGGGGGUGGAAAGUUUUUUCGGUGUGGGAUGAGCCCGCGGCCUAUCAGCUUGUUGGUGGGGUAAUGGCCUACCAAGGCGUCGACGGGUAGCCGGCCUGAGAGGGUGGACGGCCACAUUGGGACUGAGAUACGGCCCAGACUCCUACGGGAGGCAGCAGUGGGGAAUAUUGCACAAUGGGCGGAAGCCUGAUGCAGCGACGCCGCGUGGGGGAUGACGGCCUUCGGGUUGUAAACCUCUUUCGCUAGGGACGAAGCUUUUGUGACGGUACCUAGAUAAGAAGCACCGGCUAACUACGUGCCAGCAGCCGCGGUAAUACGUAGGGUGCGAGCGUUGUCCGGAAUUACUGGGCGUAAAGAGCUCGUAGGUGGUUUGUCGCGUCGUCUGUGAAAUUCCGGGGCUUAACUUCGGGCGUGCAGGCGAUACGGGCAAUACUUGAGUGCUGUAGGGGAGACUGGAAUUCCUGGUGUAGCGGUGGAAUGCGCAGAUAUCAGGAGGAACACCGAUGGCGAAGGCAGGUCUCUGGGCAGUAACUGACGCUGAGGAGCGAAAGCAUGGGUAGCGAACAGGAUUAGAUACCCUGGUAGUCCAUGCCGUAAACGGUGGGCGCUAGGUGUAGGGGUCUUCCACGACUUCUGUGCCGUAGCUAACGCAUUAAGCGCCCCGCCUGGGGAGUACGGCCGCAAGGCUAAAACUCAAAGGAAUUGACGGGGGCCCGCACAAGCGGCGGAGCAUGUGGAUUAAUUCGAUGCAACGCGAAGAACCUUACCUGGGCUUGACAUACACCGGACCGGGCCAGAGAUGGUCUUUCCCUUGUGGCUGGUGUACAGGUGGUGCAUGGUUGUCGUCAGCUCGUGUCGUGAGAUGUUGGGUUAAGUCCCGCAACGAGCGCAACCCUUGUCUUAUGUUGCCAGCACGUAGUGGUGGGGACUCAUGAGAGACUGCCGGGGUCAACUCGGAGGAAGGUGGGGAUGACGUCAAAUCAUCAUGCCCCUUAUGUCCAGGGCUUCACACAUGCUACAAUGGUCGGUACAACGCGUUGCGACACUGUGAGGUGGAGCUAAUCGCUGAAAGCCGGCCUCAGUUCGGAUUGGGGUCUACAACUCGACCCCAUGAAGUCGGAGUCGCUAGUAAUCGCAGAUCAGCAACGCUGCGGUGAAUACGUUCNCCGGACCUUGUACAGACCGCCCGUC
rnacentral:rRNA from 1 species